rnacentral:rRNA from 1 species
CUCCUUUGACGUUAGCGGCGGACGGGUGAGUAACACGUGGGUAACCUACCUAUAAGACUGGGAUAACUUCGGGAAACCGGAGCUAAUACCGGAUAACAUUUGGAACCGCAUGGUUCUAAAGUGAAAGAUGGUUUUGCAUCACUUAUAGAUGGACCCGCGCCGUAUUAGCUAGUUGGUAAGGUAACGGCUUACCAAGGCGACGAUACGUAGCCGACCUGAGAGGGUGAUCGGCCACACUGGAACUGAGACACGGUCCAG